AGUGAACGCUGGCGGUAGGCCUAACACAUGCAAGUCGAACGGCAGCACAGUAAGAGCUUGCUCUUACGGGUGGCGAGUGGCGGACGGGUGAGGAAUACACCGGAAUCUACUUUUUCGUGGGGGAUAACGUAGGGAAACUUACGCUAAUACCGCAUACGACCUACGGGUGAAAGCAGGUGAUCUUCGGACCUUGCGCGAUUGAAUGAGCCGAUGUCGGAUUAGCUAGUUGGCGGGGUAAAGUCCCACCAAGGCGACGAUCCGUAGCUGGUCUGAGAGGAUGAUCAGCCACACUGGAAGUGGGACACGGUCCAGACUCCUACGGGAGGAAGCGUAGGGGAAUAUUGGACAAUGGGCGCAAGCCUGAUCCAGCCAUACCGCGUAGGUGAAGAAGGCCUUCGGGUUGUAAAGCCCUUUUGUUGGGAAAGAAAAGCAGCAGGUUAAUACCGCGCUGUUCUGACGGUACCCAAAGAAUAAGCACCGGCUAACUUCGUG
rnacentral:rRNA from 1 species